rnacentral:rRNA from 1 species
UACGUAGGGUCCAAGCGUUAUCCGGAAUCACUGGGCGUAAAGCGCACGUAGGCGGAUGUGUCAGUCAGGGGUGAAAUCCCGGAGCUCAACUUCGGAACUGCCUUUGAUACAGCACGUCUUGAGUCCGAUAGAGGUGGGUGGAAUUCCUAGUGUAGAGGUGAAAUUCGUAGAUAUUAGGAAGAACACCGGUGGCGAAGGCGACCCACUGGAUCGGUACUGACGCUGAGGUGCGAAAGCGUGGGGAGCAAACAGG